rnacentral:precursor_RNA from 1 species
CUUUCAAUUCAGAGAAACCCCGGAAUUAAUAAAAAGGGGCAAUCCUGAGCCAAAUCCUGUUUUAUGAAAACAAAGGUUCAGAAAAUCAAAAAAGGGAUAGGUGCAGAGACUCAAUGGAAGCUGUUCUAACAAAUGGAAUUGGCUGCGGUAGUGGAGAAGUCUUUCCAUCAAAAAUUCAGUAAGUAUUAAGUAUAAGUAUUAAGGAUGAGGUGAAGGAUAAACGUAUACGUAGUGAAUAGUAUAUUAAAUGAGUAAUGACAGCCCGAAUGAAUCUAUGUUUUUUCUAUGAAAAAACAAAGAAUUGGUGUGAAUAGAUUCUACGUUGAAGAAAGAAUCGAAUAUUCAUUGAUCAAAUGAUUCACUCCAUAGUCUGAUAAAUCUUUUCAAGAACGGAUUAAUCGGACGAGAAUAAAGAUAGAGUCCCAUUCUACAUGUCAAUGCCGGCAGCAAUGAAAUUUAUAGUUAAGAGGAAAAUCCGUCGACUUUUAAAAUCGUGAGGGUUCAAGCCCCUCUAUCCCCAAAUAAACUAUUUGACUCCCCAACUAUCUAUUUACCUAUCCCUCUUUUUGUUAUCAGUUCAAAAUUCCUUAUCCAUUCA